rnacentral:lncRNA from 1 species
UUUUUUUAUGUAUUGCAUGGGAUGUUGUGAUGAUUGCCUAACUUGCGACAUUGCUUUCAAUGCGGUUAUGUCUCUAAGUCGUGCCUCGACACAUGGGAGCUAUAGCCGCAUCGAGGGCGUUACACAGACUUAGUGAAAAUAACAACAUGCCAGGAAUUAACAUCAGGAAGCAAUGUUUAGAGUAAGAUAACAACAUGCUAAAGGAACAGAACAUAUCAAACAAAGGCAUGGCAUGAAUAUACUUAAAGCAUAUAACAAAAGUCCCUUACUGACCAUAAGCCAAAAAGGAUCAGAAGAUAUGAUGGCACCCAUGUAAACAUAGCAAGUUUCGUUAACAGAUUCAGAAUUAUGAAGGCAUGUUUGCGAGCUCGAUGCACUCAACACAAGGCAUUACAUGACAAGCUAAGCAUACACCCAGCAAGGAGACAUGUACGACAAGCUAACCAUGGCAAGAACAAACUCAUAGCAUGCAUGGAUCAACUACAACAACCUUGGCAAAAUUGAUUAACACAUAAACAAUCUACCAGGAACAUUUUAUAGCAGAAGUAGAGCAAGAUUGAGUCAUGCUAGGGCACUUCAUAAAUGCAACCAAGGACAUGGAUGGAUAGAGCAUAACAAUAUCUCAAAAUCAUCCUUAAUAAACAUACUCAAAAAAGGCAUGGAUCAUUCUAUAGCAACAUGAAUACAUGGCAUAAAAAUAACAGCAGACAAAGACUUAGUGAAAUUCUAAGUCCCUGAAAACAGCAAUAUCACGAGAGCUACUUUGCAUGCUUGUGCUAGUCACCACAUUGAUCACAAAAAUACAUGGCAUACACCCCUGUAAAGAUGGCAUGGCAUAGCCCAAAACACAUGUAGAGCUCAUACUCAUAUGCAGCACACAAUAAUCAUGGCAAAAAUGACAAAAGCUCAUAAACUGAUAAGAAUCAGCACCUAACAUUCUAUAGCACUUUUGCAGCAGUCAUUAGGGCAUUAAGAUGGACUCAAACAAGCAUGGUGCAAUGGAACAAACUGAAGGGCACAUCAUGAUGAACAUUUUGAUAUAUCAUGCAUGCAAAACGGAGCAGCGAGCACAAAGUCAUGGCAUGAUGAAGGUAGCCACAAAAUAUUGGAAACAUCGGGGACUUUGAGAAAUUUAGACCUCGCGGGAAAAGUCAACGGGACGAAGACGACCAAGGACGAGGAGAUCCAGGACGGCGGGGAGGCGUUUGGUACGCGGAACGGGUGGAUCUCAUCCCACCCGGUCGGAUCCGAGGCGGGCGGCGUCCGGCGGCUCGCCGGAGCGAGGCGACACCGGCGAGCGGCGCAGCAGCGAGGAGGCGGCGGGCGGCUNNNNNNNNNNNNNNNNNNNNNNNNNNNNNNNNNNNNNNNNNNNNNNNNNNNNNNNNNNNNNNNNNNNNNNNNNNNNNNNNNNNNNNNNNNNNNNNNNNNNNNNNNNNNNNNNNNNNNNNNNNNNNNNNNNNNNNNNNNNNNNNNNNNNNNNNNNNNNNNNNNNNNNNNNNNNNNNNNNNNNNNNNNNNNNNNNNNNNNNNNNNNNNNNNNNNNNNNNNNNNNNNNNNNNNNNNNNNNNNNNNNNNNNNNNNNNNNNNNNNNNNNNNNNNNNNNNNNNNNNNNNNNNNNNNNNNNNNNNNNNNNNNNNNNNNNNNNNNNNNNNNNNNNNNNNNNNNNNNNNNNNNNNNNNNNNNNNNNNNNNNNNNNNNNNNNNNNNNNNNNNNNNNNNNNNNNNNNNNNNNNNNNNNNNNNNNNNNNNCCGGGUGGGCCAUGGCGGCGGGACAAGUGGCGGCACCGGAUUGGGCAGGGGUGACGACGGACGUGUCCGGCGAGGGGCGGACAUGUCCGGCGUGGACAGAGAGUUGGAUCUAGGGUUAGACUGCGCGAAUUUUCGGGAAGGCACAUAUAUAUAGGUAGAGGGAGCUAGGAGAGUCCAAAUGAGGUGCGGUUUUCGGCCACGCGAUCGUGAUCGAACGACCGAGAGGAUGGAGGGGGUUUGGAUGGGUUAUUGGGCCACUUUGAAAGGGUGUUGGGCUGCAACACACACGAGGCCUUUACGGUUCCUCGGUUAGCUGUUGGAGUAUCAAACGGACUCCAAAUGGUACGAAACUUGACAGGCGGUCUACCGGUAGUGUACCAAGGCCGCUUGGAAAAUCUCGGUCCAUUCUGAGAAAGUUUAAUACCCGCUCACGAAAAGAGGCAAAAAAGGGCGCUGGAGGACAUAGGAGUGCCGGAUUGCAAAACGGACAACGGGGAAAAUGCUCGGAUGCAUGAGACGAACACGUAUGAAAAUGCGAUGCACAUGAUGACAUGAUAUGAAAUGCAUGACACGCAAACAAAUGACAAGGCAACAACAGCGAAUAACUGGAAGACACCUGGCGCAACGGUCUCGGGGCGUUACAAGAUGGCUGGGCGGUGGCGUCGUCGUUGGCGGCAGGGUAGCGCGGCGGCGUGGUCUGGCGGCGCCCGCUCGGCCCAGAUCUGGGCCCUUCGAGCCCCAUCUGGGCCCGGGCGGGCUGGCUGUGGGGUGCGGCUGCGGCGCGCCCUCCAAGAGGCGGGGGAGAGGCGAAGAGCGGCAGGGUGCUGGCGGCGCCAUCGCCGGCUUGCUGCAGCAUGGCGGUGAGGCUUAGCGGGCCCGUUUCGGGCCAGGGUUGGCUUAGCAUGCCCUGCUGCCGCGUCCGGACGGCUACCGCGACGGUGCCGGAGGUUCUGGCCUCCCGCACGACGGCGGUGGAGGUGGUUCCCUCCCGUUCGGCUUCGGUGUUGCUUCUCCCUCCGCAGGGCGCUUCUCUCCGGUCCUCUUGGCCUCGUGUUGGUGUCGGCAGUGAGGCGACGUGGGUGGCGGCGCAACCGCGAUGACGCAUGGUGGUGGGCGGCGAUCUGGCUGGUCGGCUCCGGUCCGUUGGACGGUGGGGAUGGAGUGCGGGAGAAAUCUUUGCCGGUUCUUUGGCUCCGAUGCGGUGACACCUGCGGGUGCCACCAUUCCUUCCUGGAGGGUGUCGGUGAUAUCCAUCCCCCCCCACCUGCCGAGGGAAACUCUAGGACAUGUCCGGCCAGCAGCGUCGUUGGCGUCGCAUUCCUUCUUGGAGGUGUUGCUCGGUACGCAGCGGUUCGGGGCCUCGGGUUGUGGUGGUUUAUUUCUGGAGGGCGUAGCGGUGGCGGGUCGUCCGCGCUUUGUCGAGCUGCCGUUGUUGGCAUUUGUUUCUUCUUUUUUUUCUUUUGGGCUUGAUGUGCUGUUCGUCUCAGCGAUCCUUAUAUUGGUGUUGGUUGCUUUGAAAUACAAAGCGGGGGAACUCUUUUUCGAUAAAAGGGGGCCAUAGAUUUUCUAAAGUUCUACCCACAUACUCUGCUUUUGCUGGCCUUUGUGACAAAAGCUUACCGACGGCUUUAAGCUUGCCAAUCGUCGGGGAGCAGGCCUGCCUUCUACCAAUUUUGACACUCCUCUUUUCAGCCUCUGAAAGCUUCAAAUCUCUCAUCUUGCCCUCCACUCCGUCCAGGGCAGGGGUCCUCCUGUCCUCCAUUGUUGGAUGUCCUCACUGAAUCCCGAAGGGAAUACCCAGUAGCCACCUCCAAGCCCACCUCUGCACGCCAGGAAUCAGGAUUAACUGGUGCUUACGAUCGUCCGAGUCUAUAGGCGAGAGGCUUUUUUGGGGAUUUGAUUUUUGGGAUGGAUUUGCUUAUGUUCUUGGUCUGGGAACUGGUUUUGGACAACCAAAUCUCGAGCAGCAGUCAUGGAUUGGGUUGGAAGAUGGUGGGGAACUGGUCAUCUCUCAAUCGCUCGCAGCAAAUGAGAAAACCAAGUGUGGAUCUAGAAAUUCGGUGGGACGGACCUCGACAUGCAUUUAGGCUGCGUUUGGCAGCAAAGUUUUUUCAAUGUUUUCUGAGAAUAUUGUGGUUUCUGAAAAAGACCAAGGUUUUGAAUACUUUGCUGCGUUUGGCAUCAGAAAAAACCAAAGUAUUGUAAACCACGGUAUGCCAGAAACCAACGUAUUUUUGUGGUAUCUGGAAAAGAGGUCCCGACCUCUUUUUUUCAAACAGAACGGAGAGAAAUCAUCGGGGAGAUCACGGUGACGUUGCCGUCUACGUUGAGAUAAGAAUACCAGCUGCGAUCCCAUCCUAUUUUCCCUCUUUCUGUUAUGGUAUAAACUCCUGGUUAUAGCCAAUCUCAUCCUAUUUACGAGUAGCAGGUCUCUCAGGUUCUUCUUCUAGCCGGCGUCCCGUGCGAGUCUCGUCUCUUCUCUGCAGCGCCAUGAGCGAAUCAAGCUCUCCACCACGGAAAAAAGGUAUGAGCUCGUCUAUGCCCUACAAUUUUCGUCCUUAAAUUAUCUGUCUAGUCUGACCGUAACACUGCCGCAGGAGCUAGCAUAUAGGUUAGAGAUCAUACGGCCAGAUGGGAUGACGGCAAUGAUUAGUUUCAUGUGAUCUUGCAUGUUUUUCCUUGAUUCAUGUUAUAGAUGCUAGCUAGCUAACCGAUUCAGUAUGAAUGACGCACGUACACGCAUAAAGAAUUUAGAAUCGGCUGGAAGUACAGGCACGUAUAUAGACAUAUAAUGGCAAGACGCUCCUAAGAUUACUUCAAUCUAGUUGACUUCUCCUAGGAUGGUUUUACUUCAAUCUAGUUGGCUAAUUAACUAAAGUUGUCAUACGCUCUUGAUCAAUAAUGUACCUCCUAUUUAAAUUAAUCCAGCCAUUGAAAGCCAACUAAUCGAUUUGUUUCUUGCGCCUGUGUAGUUUGCAUAGUAGUACACAAAUCUGACCCUACAUGCAAAGAUGGUCCAUUUUACUCAGCAUGUAACUAGACUCCUGUUGAGUUGGUACAUCAUCUUUUGUUUACUAACAAUCUUAUUGUCUUGUUGUAAUUAUCGGUAAAUCUUUAUUUAACUAUAAUUUUUUGAAACAAGGCAAAAGAUUUGCAAUUUCAUUGAUUAAGGAAGAAGGUUUAGACAAUGCCACAUAGCGGCAAGAAAAUAAAGAACUACUCUCGCGCCAUUACAAUACUCAAAUGCUUGGCGCCCGCCAAAGCCCAAAGAGACAACUCCUCUUUAAUCCUGUUAAUAAGGACCACCGAAGGAGAGGCCGUGUUGCGGAAGAUUCUAGCAUUGCGCUCCGACCAAAUCUCCCAGGAGAUGAGCAUCAUCAACGAAGCAAGCGCCUUGGGGGAUUCGCUACGAAUAUGAAUGUUCCCGGUCCACCAUUGCUUCACCGAGCCCCUCGUCAUCCAAGCAGUGGUAUUGAUGUGAUGCAUGCCAAGCCACUGGAGGAUACCAUUCCACACGCGAAGGGUAAAACGACAUUGGAACAGAAGGUGGGCCGCUGAUUCCUGACUUUGCUUGCAAAGUGGGCAAAGACCGCGGUUGGGCCAUCCAUGACGAAGAAGGCGAUCUGAAGUCCAAAUCCUAUUUUGAAGAGCAAGCCAAGCGAAAAAUUUGCACCUCGGAGGAGCCCACACCUUCCACACCGAAUGGACCAUGUCUGACGUAGUAAGGCCCUCAAAUUGCGCCUUAUAGGCCGAGGAGGAAGAGUACAGACCGUCCUUGGUGAACUUCCAAAUAAUGGAAUCCUCCAUAUCCUCAGCAAGUGUGACCUGAGCAACCUUUUCCCAAAGGUGGGCGAACUGUUGGACGUGGUCUAGGGUUAGGCCAUUGGAAAUGUCAAUGUGAGAGAUCCAAGUGUUGUUAGAUAAAGCUUGCUGGACCGAGCAGUUUUUCUUUUUAGACAGAACAAAGAUGUCAGGCGCAAUGUCACGCGGGCGCAAACCAUUCAGCCAAGAGGAGUUCCAGAAUCUGGCAGUACGCCCAUUGCCAACCGUGACUGUAGUGGCAGCCGCAAACAAAUCUCUGUCCUCGUCCGUACAAGGCGUACCCAUACCAAUCCAUGGUUUUGUGGGCUCUUUCCAUUCAAACCAGAGCCACCGGAGCCUAAGAGCCUUGGAAAAUUUGCCCAAAUUGAGCACACCCAGGCCACCAUGUUUUUUUGGCUUGCAAACAAGGUCCCAAUUAACUUUGCAUUUCCCACCGGAGACCUUAUCAGCUCCCGCCCAAAGAUAGGCGCGACGAAUACGGUCAAUCUUCUUGAGAACCUCCACCGGGAUAUCAAGAGGCGUAAUAUGGUAAAUGGCGAUGGCAGUGAGGACAGCUUUGACAAGAACAGCCUGGCCAGCAGUAGCAACGUGUUUUCCCUGCCAAGGAGGGAGCUUGCCAGCGACCUUAUCCUCAAGGUGUUGAAAAUGGAUCCUCUUGAGACGCUUGACAGAAAGCGGGAGUCCUAGGUAUCUCAUCGGGAAUGAAGAACGGACAGCCGGGAAAGCAUGUAGAAUAUCAUCAAGGUCAACGUUUUCGCAUCGAAUAGGGGCCACGAGGCUUUUGGCGCAGUUGGUGACUAAACCGGUAACCUCUCCAAAGGAGGCAAGAGUGGAAGCAAGGAAUUGGACGUCCUCUUUGAUGGGCUUGACAAAGAUGGCAGCAUCAUCGGCAUAGAGCGAAGCACGGAUGGUUGUGUCUCUACCACAUAGAGGAUGGAGGUGCCCUUGGGCCGUGGCUUUGUUGAGAAGGUAGUGUAGAGGAUCAAUCGCCAAAACGAACAACAAGGGGGAUAGCGGGUCCCCUUGCCUGAGACCACGGCCAUGCUUCAACGGAUCACCCAACACACCAUUGAUCAAAACCCUCGAUGAUGCCGUGGAAAGGAGGGCGGAAACCCAGUCGCGAAAUCUACUUGGAAAGCCCAGAUGCCUUAAAAGAUCCAAGAGGAAGUCCCAUCUCACAGAGUCGAAAGCUUUCUUGAUAUCGAGCUUGAAGAGCAAAGUUGGGGUCCUAUUGUGAUGCAACUUUCUCGCCAAACCUCUCACAUACAUGAAAUUAUCAUGGAUGCUCCUCUUCUUGAUGAAAGCGCUUUGGGCAUUUGAGACAAGACUUUGCAUGUGCGGGGCGAGACGUGAAGCCAUCAUCUUAGCUAUAAUCUUCGCAAUGGCAUGGAUAAGACUAAUGGGGCGAAAAUAGGAGAUGCACUCCGCCCCAUCUUUCUUAGGAAUGAGGGCAAUGUUCGCCGAGUUGAGCCAAUGGAGGUUCGAGGUGUGCAAGCUCGAGAAGUGGUUGACCGCAUUCAUAAUGUCUCCUUUGAUGAUCUCCCAACAUUCCUUGAAGAAGGCACCGGUGAAGCCGUCCAGUCCCGGAGCUUUGUCACUUGGUAGAUCGAAGAUUGCCUUCUUGACCUCCUCCUCCGAGAAGGCAGCCCCAAGGUCUGAGAGAUCGCAAGCGGGGGCCGGGAUAUUACCCCAAUCGAUGUCAAUGGUACGGGGCACACCCCUCUUGGUGACCUCCCUGAAGUGGUUUUGAAUGAUGGACUUCUUGUGCUCAUGGUUGGUGACCCAACCGUUAUUGUGCUUAAGACGAUGGAUGAAAUUCUUUCGCCUUCUAUGAUUGACUCGAAGGUGAAAGAAGCCAGUGUUGGCAUCUCCAUCUUUGAGGUUGGUGAUUCUUGAACAUUGCCUUUUUCGCGCGCGUUCAAGCACGGAUAAACUAAGCACCUUGCGUUUGAGUCUCCUACGAAUGUCCCGCUCAUCAGCACUUAAAAGUCGGGUUUCUUGGGCCACAUCCAAGCGAAGGAUGAUCUCGAGGGCCAUGUGAAUUUGCACCUUUGAAUGCGCAAAAAUCGUCUUGCUCCACUUUCUAAGAACAUGACUUGUCUUUUUCAUCUUCUGGAAGAGGAUGUGAUAGGGAUCAAUAUGGUUCACCUCCUGGUUCCAAGCACCUUGGACAACCUCCUUGUAUCUGGGCAUUUUGAUCCAAAAGUUUUCAAAGCGGAACGACUUGGUCCUCGGAGGCCCUUUAUGAUUAGCAAGGAGGAGAGGACAAUGAUCAGAGAGCGAUGAGGAAAGAGCGUGCAGGAGGUGAGUGCUGAACUGAAGGUCCCAAUCUUCAUUGCAAAAGAAGGAAUCAAGCUUGCUCAAAGUUGGGUCACUUCGCUCGUUACUCCAAGUAAAUUUCCGGUUUUGGAGGUGUAUCUCUUUUAACUCACACGCAUUGAGGGCGUUGCGAAAACGAACGAUGCGGCUCCGAUCAACAUUCGCACGGUUCUUGUCUCUAGCUCGGUAUAUUUGGUUGAAAUCACCAUUGACCAACCACUUAUCACCAUGGGGGGGCUUCUCACUAACUAAUUCUUGAAAGAAGCCAUCUUUAAGAUUGCUUCGUGUCGGGCCAUAAACGGUUGUUAGCUUGAAGGAUGUGCUCGAAGAGGUGAUGGUGACAGUGGCCGAAAGGAAAAAGGCUCCGAUGCUAACAUCAUUGACAAAGACAAAAUUCUCAUCCCAGAGAAGCAGGAUGCCCCCACGGGUGCCCAGGGCUGGGCGUUGAGCAAAGCUCUUAAGUCUAUAUCCCCCUAGAAAUGCAGCAAUGAAAGGGUCAACCAGCUCGAGCUUGGUCUCUUGUAAACAGACAAGGUGGCACGGAGUAGCUGCGAUGGUCUCGUGAAUGGUAGCACGACGAUCAGGACAAUUCAAGCCUCGGACAUUCCAACUCAGAAUAUUCAGGUUUUGUUCUAACAUAAAUGGCACCAGAAUACUUCAGUAGAGCUACACUUGGCUGGACCAGCAUAAGAAGCAGAGUACAACAACACCAGGAGAAGCAACACGUUUAGCAACAUCAAACAACAGCCACAACAAACAUCGCCAUGCGCCUCGCAAGGGCACAACCAGAACCAUCGAGAGGUUGUAUCUAACAUAAGGAACAGAGUACAUCGACUGGAACAAACACAGUCCAUAUCACGCCGCCUCGUCGGCGACCUCCUGACCCGUCGUUUGCAGCUCCGGCCCGGCUUCUCCACCAUGCUCCACAAGGGCAUCUUCAACUGCCUUCGCCAGGUCACAAUCAAGGUUGAACAAGGCUCGAAGGGCAGAAACAGUGAUGUCGGGGAGCCUUCCCUGGAACAUGGCAACGAACUUUCCAAUGGCAUCUUCGGUGAGCUGCUGGCCUUCAUCAAUGAUGCCCAUGCGCUGACAGAGCAGCCUCUCUGCCAUCUUUGCGAUCGGCAUUGCCCUCUUAUUGGCACGUAGCCGUGGGCUGCACCUGGUCAGGUUGAAGCCUGAGACGCCCGCGAGCGUCUUCCUCCUGGUCGCUGGCAGACGAGGUGGAGAGGAGCUUGGAUCAGCUAGGAGUGGCGGCUGACGGGCGACGAAUAACGGAGAGCGUGGCGGCGACCCUGCUGGACUUCUAGGCGCGUGGACAUAGGGAUGUGGAUAGGGGUGACCGGAGGGGAAGGAGUCUCUUCUGGAGUGGAAAUCGCCAUGAGCUCGUCAGUAGAGCCAGUCGAAUCGGCAUGUUGGUGCAGCAGUGUGACAGAGCCAGGAGCCGACUGGUGGAGUGGCGUGAGGGGGCUUGGAGUCGGGGUGGUUGCACGCCGUAGCAGACGAGGCGCGGGACAGCCCGGUGGCGGGUCCUCCGGCGACACUUGCAAGCCCGGACACGGUGCCGCGCGACGCAGCCAAGCAGGAGCAGUCGGUGAAGGACGCAGCUCAAUGAUGUCUCUGUGAGCGGUGCGGGGGGAAGAUGGCGACGAUCUUCCGCAGUUCACAGGGGCCUUUGGGGACGGCCGCAGCACAAUGAUGUCAUGUUGUGUAGUGCGAGGCGAAGGAGGCGGAGAUCUUCCGCGGUUCUCUUCGUUGCGCGGGAUGAUAGACCUAGCUCUUGAGCGUGCACGCCUCAGCGUCAUGUCAGAUGGGCGGUCUCGGGGCCUCCUGCCUGAAGCCGGGAUGACAGUGCCAUCACGAAGGUGUUGCACACAUCCAUUGUUGAUUCUUCGGGCGUCGAGGAUUGGGAGCUCCAGACCACAGAGCCUGUCAUCUUCUUGACGGCCACAGAUGUCGCUGUCUUUUUGGAUCCACUCGUCGCACGAGUCUUGGCCUUGCUUAGCACGUCCAGGGUGAGCUCUUGAGCGUUGGCGGACGCGAAGCAACGAGUGCGAGCGCGGGCGGAGGGGAGUCCUUUCGGCAACAUCGUCCGGGGAGGACGGCAGCAGAGGCGAGGGAUGGCCCUGCGGUGCUGGUGGCAGGAGACGGUCUUGUUGUGGAGGCGGCGUCUUGCUAGUGCACUGACGAGCAUGGUGCCCGCUCUGUCGACAGAUCAGGCAUUUGUAGGGAUCACGGCAGUCAACUUUGCAGUGUCCCCGCUCCAGGCAGCGAUGACAGGUCGUACGAUGGAGCUUGACGAAUCUUCUGCUGGUUGGAGGGGAAUACGAAGGCAAGGAUCGUCGGGGUGAACGACGGUGGUCGGGAGACAGAGCUCUCCACCAGUACGGAGCUCGAACAAGCUUCCAACCCUCCUCUGAGCUGGCUUCCCCACUGGACGGCUCGAUCGAAGAAGCACGCGGCGAUGCAGGUCUGGAAGGAACGGGCGUCCACGCCGCACGCCGGCCGGCACUGAACCGCGCAGAUGACGAUGCCUUGAGGCAUGACCGGGGAGCGCCACGGACGAGCCCAAGAGGAGCUGGAUGCAGCAGAACUUCAGCGGCAGCAAAGCAGACCUUCCGGGUUGGAUCUGAAGCAACGAGAGCAGCAACUGCAGGUGGAUCUUCGGGGAUAGAAUCCCGGCCGAAAGAAGAGCCUGAAGAGGGAGGGUGCCUUGGCGGCGAGGCUGGAUCUGGCGUGGAUCCCGCGAGCUGUGGGAACAGAGAGAGCACGAGGCCGUCCCGAGCAAACCUUGGCGUGGGGAACCCGGGAGGAAACCGCGGCGUUGCAGGGGAGAGGUGCGGCUGGUGAAGGAGUGGCGCCGCGGCGGCGGAGACGGUGGCUGCGGGUGCCGGAGCGGCGCGGCGCAGGAGCAUGGGCGGGGGGAGCGACAUCCUUUUUUCGCGAAAGAUUAUAUGAUAGAUGCAAAAUGAUUAAUUUAACUAUAAUGAACGCUUGCAGGGCCAAAACAGGACAGAGCUACAUGGAAUAAUGGUCGCACUGGCUUUUUUGUGUCAAUGAUGAAAGAGUAUGCAAAUGUGGGAAGGUAUCAUGGCCAAAAUGGGUGGACCAAGGAAGGAUGGCAAGCUAUGAAAAACCGCCUUAAUGAGAGGCCUCUUGGAGCUAAUUUCACUGUUCAACAGCUGAAAGAUAGAGAGCAAAGGCUGAAGAAGAAACUUAAUGUUGUAAGUCUAUUAUAGAAAAGAGUGGUUUCGGUUGAGAUCCUCAUAACAAAGUGCCAACGGCUAUAGAUGAAAAAUGGGCAGAGCUAUCAAGCGAACAACGCAAGUGGAGAUACAAACAAUUCCCCUAUUAUGAUGUUUUAUGUGAAAUUUACGAAGGUAUUUUUUCUGACGAUGAUAAAAAAUAUAAAUUGCUCCUGUCAUAUUAUGUAUUACUUACAUCAUUUCUACACAGGUCAAAUGGCAGAAGGAAAGCAUUGCAAAAGGACAACCGAUGGUAAUGAAGAGAGGUACAAUAAUGUGUCCCAUUUUCCUGAACAUGGAAGUUAUACUGAUGAUGUUUUGAGGGUUGCCGGUAUGAAUUCUCCUGAGGCAACACUAUCUGCUCCAGGAUCAUCAAUGCCAGAAUAUGAGUUGGGCAGAGAUAAAUAUGGGGAUGAUGUUGACUUAUCAUAUGGUGGAUAUACAGAACCUCUAGGGAGUAAUCAAAUUCAUGCUUCAGCAGUAGAAGAUUUAACGAGUGUGGAUUCACCUCAAAGGAAGAGGCUUCGGAAUUCUAAAGGAUCUGAUGACGGAAGUGAGAAAAGUAAGGGGAAAAAAGAAAAGGACACUAUGUUGGCCAACUUGGUUUCCGUGAGGGAGGAAGAAAUGCAAACUUAUAAAGAAAUGAAGACGAAGCAAAUUGAUAGCUACAAGGAAAUCAAGAUGGCACAAAUGGAAAGGUGAUCCAAAAAAUGAUCCAUAUGGCAUGCCAAACUGCAAGCCAAGCUUAUUAUAGAUGAGGCCAACCUAUGGGUUACUGCAGGGGCUAAACAAUUAGGGAAAAUUGUAUCGCGCGAGUAAUUGUCAUGCCGUACUUCGGCCUUGUGUAACUCUACAAAACUCUAUUCUCCUCUACUUUAAUAGAUGAGGCAAAUCUUUUGCCUCCGUUUUGAAAAAAAAGAAUUUGGGACUCACACCAAAUGAUCAACACAAGAUGAUCAACCAUCUCAAAGCAGAUAUGCUAAACCGUCAAACAUUCAUGGAAGUGGAGGAUGAUGUUCUAUCCGUGAUUAUCCAAGAAGUCGUUGCCCCGCGGGUCUGAAGGAUACUGAAGUAGUAUAAAUUUUAUUUAAUCGUUACCAUUCCAUUUAUUCAUCAUUAUGUUCCAUGAAUUAGGAUCAUGUAUCUUUCUAUUCUGAAUAACGGAAGCACAAUAACUCUGUUGAAUUUUAUUUAUUUAUUCCUCCCGCACAAUGUUGAUAUAUAUUUUAGUCAUGACACUUCCAAAGUACCAAAAAAAUAUAGUAAGAACAAAUGAAUUUAUUUUAUUCUUGACACUUUUCAACUAAAAACAAAAAAAAUGAAAACAAAUGAACUUCAAGCAGUAUUUCUUCUUCCGCCUGAGAUAGUUUUGGUAGUCGUUCCACAUUGCAUCGGCUAUUUCAUCCCUUUUUGUGAUACCUAGUGCACGCCGCUCAUUGAGAGAAUGUAUAUCAUUUGUAUACUGCUUAUCUCCACUUGGAACAUCAAUUAUUUUUAUUGGAUCAAUCUCUGAUUCAACUUGGUCCAACCAUUGUUCGCCGCCCUCAUUAUUGGAAAUAAAAUUGUGAAGAGCACAACAUGCUAUCGCUAUUUCUGCUUCAGAGAUAGUCAUAUUCUACAGAUCCUGGUAUCUAGCUAGAUCGAGUCGAACGUGUGCAUGGCUGCAUGCAGCCAGCCACCGUUAACAGCCGCUAAUUACUCAAUCAUCCACUCCAAAUACUUGGGUCAAAACUUUGAUAAGACAACACCAGCCAAACACAUGUAAAACUGAGGAAAACAUUAUUUUAAAAAAACUGUGGUAUUCCUUGGCCAUCCAGGAGAAUACUCUGGUUUUCAAUUACCACAGUUUAAAAAAUACUUUGCUGCCAAACUAGGCCUUAAUGUUUUAAAAGCAAGAAAUGCGGUUGCAAGGAUGACAAGGGGUGACCAGCUACUGUUCAUAGACGCAUAGAAAAUAUCGACAGACAAAACCCAGUCCCGUUGUAGCUGUUCACUACAGCCUCAACCAAGGACCACUCUGCCAGGUACGGUCAACAGGAUGUGUGGAGCAGAUUAUGAAUGCACAAGAGAUGAGAACAAAUAAGUUUCAACAUCCAUUUUGCUGUCAAAGAAUCUGUUCUUCACAAGAGAAACUAUACAUAAACAUAAUCUAACAAAACGUCCAGCCAGCAGGCAGUCCAGUUGCAGUGAUCUCAAGCGAAACCAACAAAAAUAAAAAAGUUAAACCUGAAUAUCCAUGAAGACGAAUAGCAAGGGUUGUCUAGUCUUCAGGAAACCAAAUAUGAGCAGUUCCAUAUCACGAUUACAUUUGCCAAGUCUUUACCUAAUAACAAGUUACCGAAAGCUAGCCCAAUCACAAAUUCAGACAACCUAUUCAGGUUGUGAUAAUAGCAACACGUAACAGAUAGCACAACAUAACAAGGGAUCACGAAGAUACAACACACAACAACUACCCGUUAUUGCAUUUCAUUCACUCCUUGGAGGUCUUGUUGAUGAGUGACUUGUGGAUGUGAGGGAUGACACCACCACCAGCGAUGGUGCCCUUGAUGAGGGUGUCCAGCUCCUCAUCUCCACGGAUCGCAAGCUGCAGGUGGCG